CAGAAUGUAGUUUAAAAAAAAUAUAAGCUUUGGGAGUUUAAGAUAGAGAAAUUCUUUAUUCUGA
rnacentral:tRNA from 1 species